rnacentral:rRNA from 1 species
UACGGAGGGUGCAAGCGUUGUCCGGAUUUAUUGGGUUUAAAGGGUGCGUAGGUGGUCUGAUAAGUCCGGGGUGAAAGCCCACAGCUCAACUGUGGAACUGCCCUGGAUACUGUCAGACUUGAGGGUAGACGAGGUUGGCGGAAUAGAAGGUGUAGCGGUGAAAUGCAUAGAUACCUUCUAGAACCCCGAUUGCGUAGGCAGCUGACUAGGCUACACCUGACACUGAGGCACGAAAGCGUGGGGAGCGAACAGG